CCCGCUGAACUUAAGCAUAUCAAUAAGCGGAGGAAAAGAAACUAACAAGGAUUCCCCUAGUAACGGCGAGUGAAGCGGGAUGAGCUCAAAUUUAAAAUCUGGCUGGUUUACUAGUCCGAAUUGUAGUUUAUAGAAGCGUUUUCGGUGGCAGCCUGGGUAUAAAUCCUUUGGAAUAGGGUAUCAUAAAGGGUGAGAAUCCCGUCUUUGACUCAGUGCAUGCUACUAUGUGAUACGUUUUCAAAGAGUCGAGUUGUUUGGGAAUGCAGCUCAAAAUGGGUAGUAAAUUUCAUCUAAAGCUAAAUAUUGGCGAGAGACCGAUAGCGAACAAGUACCGUGAGGGAAAGAUGAAAAGAACUUUGAAAAGAGAGUGAAAAAGUACGUGAAAUUGUUGAAAGGGAAGGGCUUGAAAUCAGACUUGGUAUUCAAUGAUCAAUUUUCUUUCGGGGAGAUGCACUCGUUGUUUACUGGGCCAACAUCGAUUUAGACGGUGAGAUAAUGACAGUUGAAUGUGGCUUGCUUCGGUAAGUGUUAUAGCUUCUGUUGAUAUCAUCAGUUUGGAUCGAGGACUGCGCAUUUUUGCUAGGAUGUUGGCGUAAUGAUUUUAAGCCACCCGUCUUGAAACACGG
rnacentral:rRNA from 1 species